CCUACGGGGGGCAGCAGUGAGGAAUAUUGGUCAAUGGCCGUACGUCUGAACCAGCAAAGCCGCGUGAAGGAAGAAGGUUCUCGGGUUUUUAAACUUCUUUUAUAGGGGAAUAAAGGUAUCCACGUGAGGGUAUUUGCAUGUACCCUAUGAAUAAGCAUCGGCUAACUCCGUGCCAUCAGCCGCGGUAAUACGGAGGAUGCGAGCGUUGUCCGGAUUUAUUGGGUUUAACGGGUGCGUAGGUUGUUUUUUAAGUCAGCGGUGAAAGUUUGUGGCUCAACCAUAAAAUUGCCGUUGAAACUGGAAGACUUGAGUGUGUUUGAGGAAGGCGGAAUGCGUGGUGUAGCGGUGAAAUGCAUAGAUAUCACGCAGAACUCCGAUUGCGAAGGCAGCUUACUAAGCCAUAACUGACACUGAAGCACGAAAGCGUGGGGAUCAAACAGGAUUAGAUACCCGGGUAGUC
rnacentral:rRNA from 1 species